rnacentral:antisense_RNA from 1 species
GGAGGCCGGCAGGAAGGGCCUCGAGCCCAGUGCGGACCUUUCUUCAGCCUCUGUGCGGCCGAGCCGCGCGCCAGGCUGCUGUGCGAGGAGGACGCGCUGACUUCCUCCGACAUGGGCUCUGAUAGAGCAGAAAUAGCGGGACCUGGACUUGUGGCGCGCCUGGUGCCUGGUGCCACAUCUCGGGCUCUGCGAGCCUCCUGGCGCGGGAUCCUGCCUAAUGUCUUACAAUAACAGAAUGCAGGAGAGCACAUAUCAAUGAAGAAAAGACAAAAUGUAUUUAUCCAUGAAGCUGAGGUUAAGAAACCAGUGUCUUCAAGAGCCGGGGACAGCACUGGGUCUGUGCAGAGUUGAGAGAUGGUGAUGACAUGUGGUUUCCAGCAUUCCUGGCCCAGUCCAGGGACACUGUGGGUGUGCCCAGCUUAAGUCCAGUAACUGGAAAUACAAGCCCAAGUUCUGGAGAGUUUGAGCUGCAG